UGGUUCCACUGAGAAAGUGUGCCUAUAGGGAAGCAGAAUUACCUGGAGAUUCAUCCAAGUUACUGCAUUUGUCAAUAAUUCAUUUCUUGUUAUUGCUUGGCCUCUGCAGGAAUGAGCAAAGACAGCCAACCUGUGAGGCUGGAAGCAAGAUGGAGUCAGCCAUGCUAGACUUUUCUCACUGUCAUCAUCUUUGCAAAGGCAGUUUCAUUUCUGGUAGCCCUGUCUUUCAGCUGGGUCCCCAAGUGAGACACCUAAGCAGAGCUCCACCUGCUGCCUUGAAGACCCACAGCCUAAAGCAAAGCUUCUCCUGCGGACCCUAGACUCACAUCUCAAAGAAAGAAGACAAACCCAGUGUGACCCACAGCCUGGGAACUUGGGAGUAAAUGGCUAUUCUUUUAA
ensembl:lncRNA novel transcript